rnacentral:rRNA from 1 species
AUUGAACGCUGGCGGCAUGCCUUACACAUGCAAGUCGAACGGCAGCACGGGUGCUUGCACCUGGUGGCGAGUGGCGAACGGGUGAGUAAUACAUCGGAACAUGUCCUGUAGUGGGGGAUAGCCCGGCGAAAGCCGGAUUAAUACCGCAUACGAUCUACGGAUGAAAGCGGGGGACCUUCGGGCCUCGCGCUAUAGGGUUGGCCGAUGGCUGAUUAGCUAGUUGGUGGGGUAAAGGCCUACCAAGGCGACGAUCAGUAGCUGGUAUGAGAGGACGACCAGCCACACUGGGACUGAGGAACGGCCCAGACUCCUACGGGAAGACGCAGUGGGGAAUUUUGGAGAAAGGGGGAAAGCCUGAUCCAGCAAUGCCGCGUGUGUGAAGAAGGCCUUCGGGUUGUAAAGCACUUUUGUCCGGAAAGAAAUCCUUGGCCCUAAUACGGUCGGGGGAUGACGGUACCGGAAGAAUAAGCACCGGCUAACUACGUG